CGUCAUUAUCGCAGCUAUUAGAGACAUUUUGAUUGCUUUAAUACUGUCAGGUAAUGACGCU
rnacentral:pre_miRNA from 1 species